rnacentral:rRNA from 1 species
CCUACGGGGGGCAGCAGUGGGGAAUAUUGGACAAUGGGCGAAAGCCUGAUCCAGCCAUGCCGCGUGUGUGAAGAAGGACUUCGGGUUGUAAAGCACUUUCAGUGGGGAAGAAAGCCUUGGGGCUAAUACCCUCGAGGAAGGACAUCACCCACAGAAGAAGCACCGGCUAACUCCGUGCCAGCAGCCGCGGUAAAACGGAGGGUGCGAGCGUUAAUCGGAAUUACUGGGCGUAAAGCGCGCGUAGGCGGUCUGAUAAGCCGGUUGUGAAAGCCCCGGGCUCAACCUGGGAACGGCAUCCGGAACUGUCAGGCUAGAGUGCAGGAGAGGAAGGUAGAAUUCCCGGUGUAGCGGUGAAAUGCGUAGAGAUCGGGAGGAAUACCAGUGGCGAAGGCGGCCUUCUGGACUGACACUGACGCUGAGGUGCGAAAGCGUGGGUAGCAAACAGGAUUAGAUACCCUAGUAGAC